rnacentral:lncRNA from 1 species
AUAUAUGUAAAGACACAUUAUAAUCUACAAAAUACCAUUUGUUUAUUCACAAAAAAUUAAAGAUUCAUAUCACAGUGUACACAGGCGAUGUGUAUAACACAAAAAAAAAUGUAGUUAUUGUCAAGUUAUUCAGAUGGUGUAUUUGAAAGCAGCUGCCAUUCAGUAUCUGGAGGUAUGGAGAAGGGUUUUGAGAGGCAAAGCAUCAGUUCACCGCAUUAGGACAGCCAGGCACCAACAAAAUACCCCUCUGUAUUACUCUGUUGAGGAAAGAGAGAGAAGAUUCAACUGGUGCCCAGAAACAUUUUAGUCUGUCAAUGUCUGAAACUAUCGACAAAAAAAUAUAUAUUUGUAUUAUUAUUCAAUCAUUUUAAAGUUGCCUGUUAUGACAUGACAAAUAUGAUAGAAACAGUGAGAGGUGGUUGCGUCGAACACCUGUAGCUAACUCGCCUGUAGGUUGUGGUGGCAGACGGGGUGGUGAUGGUGGUGCUCAGCCAGGUGGUUAUGGACACACCUCCCGAAGCGGUGUAGACAGGUCAGGGCUGAGGACGGGGCUCUCCGGAACAGACAGCUGGAGCAGGAGGUGUGCUGGCAGGAACCACGGCACCCCUGCUUCUCCAGGGACACUGUCCUGCAGCAGGGAGGGAGGGAGGGAGAGCGGAAGUGAUCAUUCAUAGAGAUUUUAAAGUACAGGAAAAUGGUAGAACAUACAAGAACAAUAUUUUUUGAGGGGGAACUGAGAGGUAGAGUUGGUGUCAGGGGGAUAAUUUCAUUUAAAUUCAGGAAGGAAAUUGUCAUUCCAAUUCUGACUGAUUGAUUUAAAAAUGUAAUUGACCCCAACUCUAGAGAACUUUGGGGAGUUUCUCUCAUUCUUCUCUACAGAUCCUCUCCAGCUCUGUCAGUUUGGAUGGGAAGCGUUGCUGCACAGAUAUUUUCAGGUCUCUCCAGAGAUGUUUGAUCGGGUUCAAGUCCGGGCUCUGGCUGGGCCACUCAAGGACAUUCAGAGACUUGUCCCGAAGCUACUCCUGCAUUGUCUUGGCUGUGUGCUUAGGGUCAUUGUCCUGUUGGAAGGUGAACCUUCACCCCAGUCUGAGGUCCUGAUCGCUCUGGAGAGAGUUUUCAUGAAGGAUCUCUCUGUACUUUGCGCCAUUCAUCUUACCCUCGAUCCUGACUAGUCUCCAAGUCCCUGCUGCUAAAAAACAUCCCCACCUCCCUGACCAAGGCCCUUCUCCCCUGAUUGCUCAGUUUGGCUGGGCGACCAGCUCUAGGAAGAGUCUUGGUGGUUCCAAAUGUUUUCCAUUUAAGAAUGAUGGACACUGUGUUAUUGGGGACCUUCCAUGCUGCAGAAAUGUUUUGGUACCCUUCCCCAUUUACCACAGGUGGACUCAAAUCAAGUUGUAGGAACAUCUGAAGGAUGAUCAAUGGAAACGGGAUGCACUUGAGCUCAAUUUAAAGUCUCAAAGCAAAGGUUCUGAAUACAUAUGUUUUAAAAAUGUUAUACAUUUGCAAACAUUUCUACAAAAACUGUUUUUGCUUUGACAUUAUAGAGUAUUGUGUGUAGAUUGAUGAGGAUUUUUAUUUUAUACAUUUUAUAAUAAGGCUGUAACGUAAUAAAAUGUGGAAGAAGUCUGAAUACUUUCUGAAUGCACUGUAUGUAUAGGGGUAAUGUGACUAGGCAUCAGGAUAUAUGAUAAACAGAGCAGCAGCAGCAGCUUGUGAGUGAGCAUGUGUGUAGAGUCAGUAUAAAUGUAUGUGUGCAGAGUCAGUAGAAUUAUAGGUGUGUCGAGCAGUGGUCACCAACCUUUUCUGAGUCAAAAUGCAAGCUGAGAUCUACCACUGAUUUUUUAUUAAUUAGGGAUAGGCAUUCCGCUAGCAGGUCAACUUCCGAUGAAACUGGAGGGCGCGCAAUUCAAAUAAAUAAUCAUAAAAAUUAUGGAUAUUAAUAAACAUUUAGGUACAUACAAGUGUAUUUUAUCGGUUGAAAGCUUAAAUUAUUCUUAAUCUAACUGCACUGUCCGAUUUACAGUAGCUAUUACAUUGAAAGCAUGCCAUGCGAUUGUUUGAGGACGGCGCCCCAAAUCACAAUAUUUUUCCACCGGCACAGGUUUCAAAAAUUCACAAAUAGUGAUUAAAUAUUCACUUACAAUUUUUUUAAAUCUUCCUCUGAUUUGUCAUCCAAAGGGUCCCAGCUAUAACAUGUAGUGUCGUUUUGUUAGAUAAAAUCCUUCUUUAUAUCCCAAAAAGUCUGUUUAGUUGGCGCCAUCGAUUUGAGUAAUCCACUCUUUCAACAUGCAGAGAAAGGAAUCUGAAAAUCUACCCCUAAACUUUGUUUCAACAAGUCAAAAUAUGUUUCUAUUUACUCCUCAGAUACCCUAAAAUGUAACCAAACUAUAAUAUUUCUUACGGAAAGUAGUAUGUUCAAUAGGAAACAGAUUUUAGCAGGUGCGUCUUGUCUUCAUGGCGCACGCAAACACAAAUUUCCAAGACUAUGUCCCUGUACUAAAACUUAUAUUUCUUAUUCGUUUUGGAAGUUAUAAGCCUGAAACCUUGAACAUAGACUGCUGACACCCUGAGGAAGUCAUAGGAAUUGCAUCCUGGGAGCUAGAAUUGAGUAUGCCCUUAUAAUUGCCAUUGUAAGAGCAUGGUCUCUCAAAAAUCAAUUGGUUUUUCUUUGGAUUUUCUCCUACCAUAUCUAUUGUGUUAUAGUCUCCUACAUUAUUUUAACAUUUCUACAAACUUCAAAGUGUUUUCCUUCCAAUGGUACCAAUUAUAUUCAUAUCCUGGCUUCAGGGCCUGAGCAACAGGCAGUUUACUUUGGGCAUGUCAUUCAGGCGGAAAUUGAGAAAAAAAGGGGCCUAGCCCUAAGUAGUGACUUAAACAAUGUAAACCUAUUCAACAUUAACCAAUUAAAAACAGUUCUGUAGCAAUGAGGUUUGUGCAGUAAGCUAUUGGCCCAAUACAUUAUCACCGCAUACUGGCUUUGCUUGAAUUUACCUGACAAUGCAUUGUUGUUCUGGACAUUUUUUAAAUUAUAUUUCAAUAUUUGAGGUAGGCGACAUGAUCCCACCGGUAAUAGAUCCAUUGUUGUAUUACUUGUGAGGCACAGCUGAGUGAGCAUGCAUUUAAAUAAUUAGCUUUUUAUUUUACUGGGCUAAUGGUGCCUGCAUCUGAGGGUCAGUCUCAGCAGAGGGAGAGAGCAGCAGACUGAGGGUCAGUCUCAGCAGAGGGAGAGAGCAGCAGACUGAGGGUCAGUCUCAGCGGAGGGAGAGAGCAGCAGACUGAGGGUCAGUCUCAGCGGAGGGAGAGAGCAGCAGACUGAGGGUCCGUCUCAGCGGAGGGAGAGAGCAGCAGACUGAGGGUCAGUCUCAGCGGAGGGAGAGAGCAGCAGACUGAGGGACCGUCUCAGCAGAGGGAGAGAGCAGCAGACUGAGGGUCAGUCUCAGCGGAGGGAGAGAGCAGCAGACUGAGGGUCAGUCUCAGCAGAGAGAGAGAGCUGCAGACCGAGGGUCAGUCUCAGCAGAGGGAGAGAGCAGCAGACUGAGGGUCCGUCUCUCAACAUCCCUCCUCUCUCCCUUUCCUCCACUGACUCUGACCAACAAGGGACACCGUCUUCCAGCUAAUGGCAACUCGAGUCGCACCUCAUUAUUUCUGCCUCAUGCACAAAUUAAUGUUGUUACUCCUAUGAACAGAGAAAGUGAAAUAUUCCUUGAUAUUAAAAAAGACCCAAGCCACUAAUAAUAACAACAACGCCUAUAGAUACACUUUCCUCCUCAUUCAUUACUGCCGCAGGGCUUGUUGUAGCGCUGAGUGGAAAUAGGAAGAACGUGCAUUUUAUGGUUUAUACAAGUUUUGAAAACAAAGUGUUGACAGUCCUGAGUAAGAACUUAAACAUGAACUCACCGAUAAAAACAGCUGCUCUUUCUCUAGUCAUGGUUUUAAACGUUUUGAAAUGUCACAGUAUCAAUUUUGCCGUAUCCUUUUUUUAUUGCCUG